GUCUGGAACCUUGACUAUUUAAACUGAGCCCUAUGGACGGAUACUUCACAGCAGAGGAAGGAGACUCCGAAGGGAUUACCUUAUUCCAUUUAUCUUGGAAGUUGACAUCUGAGCCAUCUGUUCUGAAUCUGGAAAAGAAUUCACUGAUCCUAUUGUUAUGUUGGUUCCAAGUGCUUCCAUUGGGGCCUCCCCAAAAAAGCAGUGGCAGAGUUGAGUCUACCAUCCUUGCCGAAGGUCUGCCCAAUGCGUUUGCAUUGAUCUAAAUGCAAAUUCUAAAAAGUGAUCCGUGAAUUCUGACAUAAAAGAACAUCGCUUCACUGGCAACAGAGGAAGUCGUCCUGAAGAAAUCCCAGCAGUCACCUUUCAACAACCAAAGAAAAAUUUAAUUUCAUAAUUUAAAAUUAAUAAAAAGGAAAAUAAACAAAUGAAGCGAAACUGA
rnacentral:lncRNA from 1 species